CUGUAAUUCCCAUGGGGAAUUACUGUAAAAUUAACAGUAAAAUAUUUUAAACCAAUGUUUGUGGUGUAGUACUGUAAUUUGCAUGUCAAUGUAACUUGAAAAAACAUUAUCCCAUAGUUUUCACGGUAUGUUACUGUUUUAGCUGAAAAAGGUGCAAUAUGCAGCAUGAUGAUAUAUUCUGCUGUAAUUCCCAUAGUGAAUUACUGUAAAAAGUACAGUAAAAUAUCCCUGCCGUAUGCUUGCAGUGUAUUACAGUAAUUUGCAUAUCUAUGCAACUAAAUUCUAUGACAUACCAUAGUUUUCAAUGCAUGUCACUGUCCUAAAGAAAACAGGUAUUUAACACAACACACACAGGAAAUACCUCGGACAUCAUGUCAACACCAUUUGGAUAUUUGUGUUCUGUCACCAGUUAGUGACAGGAAAAGAAUUGACAAAUUGGUGCAGAGAUCUGCCUCUGUUUAGAGUGGUCCCUUUGAGCCUGAACACUGAACACCUUCAUUUUUGAAUUUCGCAUCUCCUACUUUUUAUAAGAAUCAUUAGCUUCAAUCUACAGCAUUCUUGGACCUGUGGUGACAAAUUAAAAUCUUUGUUGUGGGAUCAAUCAAAUUCAAUUCAAUCCUAUUCUAUCCUAUUCUAUUCUAUUCUAUUCUAUUCUAUUCUAUUCUAUUCUAUUCUAUUCUAUUCUAUUCUAUUCUAUUCUAUUCUAGUGUAUUCUAUUCUAUUCUAUUCUAUUCUGAUAAUUUUCUAGAAUGAUGCCCAUGGAUUUACACGGUCUCCGUUGCAUUGUGUUGUUACAAAAAAAUAGAAGAGCUACUAAUCACUUUGAGUGUUUACAAUGCCUCAGUAAUGACUCCCUCUGAAUAACACCCUCUGCUACGCAACACAAGCUUGAGGAGUUUCAUUACCAGUACGAAAAAAGUCACAAAAACAGGAAAUAUGAGUAGAUUUAAAAAUAAAACUUCUGUUGCAGUUUCAAAAUGAAACUUCGUAAAAUGAUAUUUCAUAUUUACAGUGAUGUGCCCACACAUCAGUCAGUCAGACAGACACAGUUUUUCCCCAAAAUAUUUAUAGGGUGAAGGAGAACAUGCAACUGUGGCUAAGAUAUUUUAAUUCGUGACUGGUACCAACUUAAGACUGAGUAUUGGUUGAGUAUUGGUACGUAUCCUUAGUCCACUUGGAAGUGCAGUUCAUCAUUUUCACCAGACGAAAAGCAUGAGGCACACAGACGCUUCAUAAAGAACAGAAGAAAACAGUAAGUAUCUCACCCAGACUGCAUGCCAGUAGAUGGCAGUAAUUCACUUGCAGGCAGUGCGCAUCUGCUAUAAAACUGCACAAGAAGAAGUAAAUGCUUCCUGGUUGAAACUGCUGGUUGUCUAAAUACUGUUGUGUGCUAAAUGACUUGUUGAAGAUUAUCUUCUCUAGACUUUGAUAUAAAAGGUGUUGUUUUGUGGUUAAGGAAUCACAGAGGAAGGGAGACCACUGAGGAGGACUCAAAGUUCACAGGUGACCUCAGAUGUAAAGUUCCUGGAUAUUUUUUGUCAGGAUCAACCCUGAAGAAGGGACAAAAUGUACCUCGAAAGUUGGCACGAGCAGAAAGACGGGGAAUGUGGUCAAGCGAAAGGUUGUUCAAAUUAAUCCCCAUGUCACAACCUUCCUCCAACGGCUGACGGAAUUUGAGUGGAAAACUUCAAAUUAGAUGACCAAUCGCCUCAGUGUUCUGGGCAACACGUGAAGAAGCCACCCACCUCAGCAUCCUGCAAAUAACUGGCUGUAUAGUUUAAUUCUUUUUUGCAACUGUGUUUAUGUAUUUUUACCUCUAUGUACCACAGUUUAUUUCUACCAACACAUAAUUUGCACGUUUUGAGCUAACUCUAGAGGAGGCUCCCCCUGAUUUAUGGUGGGAUUUUUAUUUCAAUGUAAAAAGAGAAAUCAAAUUAAAAGAAAAUGAAUAUCCAGUG